CAGCCGCCGCGGGAAUACGAAGGGUGCAAGCGUUAAUCGGAAUUACUGGGCGUAAAGCGUGCGUAGGCGGUUUGUUAAGUCUGUUGUGAAAUCCCCGGGCUCAACCUGGGAAUGGCAAUGGAUACUGGCAAGCUAGAGUGUGUCAGAGGAUGGUGGAAUUCCCGGUGUAGCGGUGAAAUGCGUAGAGAUCGGGAGGAACAUCAGUGGCGAAGGCGGCCAUCUGGGACAACACUGACGCUGAGGCACGAAAGCGUGGGGAGCAAACAGGAUUAGAUACCCUAGUCCCUGUCUCUUAUACACA
rnacentral:rRNA from 1 species